rnacentral:tRNA from 1 species
GCGCGCUUAGCUCAGUUGGUAGAGCGUCCGCCUGAUACGCGGCAGGUCCUAGGUUCGAAUCCUAGAGCGCGCA